GUGUCGAAAUUGACAUUAACCUACAUGGAGCUUCAUUCUUACCCACUGGCUCUCCAUUAGAGUACAUUGGAGAUGGAGGAUGUGUUGUGUGGAUGAGGGGUCGAAAUGACGACUGUUGGCGGACUAAGAGGAAGAAGACGACCAUCAUCACUGCUUCAGAGUCAUAGCACCGGUCUUUAAGGCAUGACUAUUCAAUUAAGGAAGUGCAGUUGGCUAAAUAAUCCUCCUCUUGCUUGUGCUAAUGGUGAUUACUGAACUAAUGCCUUCCCCAACACAGCGAGCAAUCUCUUCUAUUUUAUUUUGGGUUUUUUUUUCCCCUUAAUAUGAAUCAAACAUUUGAUUUUUAAUGUUUUCUUUUCUAUUUCACAAAUGGCUACAUAACGUUUGGCU